UUAAGUUCUUGUCCUAAACUGACAAUCUACA
rnacentral:piRNA from 1 species